rnacentral:tRNA from 1 species
GCCUAGGUGGCUCAGUCAGUUAAGCGUCUGACUUUGGCUCAGGUCAUGAUCUCACUGUUUGUGGGUUCAAGCCCCACGUCGGGCU